rnacentral:lncRNA from 1 species
GUACGUGGAGCUUGGAGCAUGCAUGGAUAUCUCUAUCUCUCUCUACCCACACCCUCAUGCAUGUGUUCAUCUAAACAUACCGCCCAAAACCCAUUCUUUCUCUGUAUCCUCAUGUCCUUUACCCACUCAUUCCGCAUAUCUCAUGCCUGCACCACUACCCGCUUUUCUGAAACACCCCUCAUACCCAUCUCCUUUUUCUAUCACACCCAUUUGUAGCAGCUAACCUCACCACCGAUACCAGCCCAUCCUUCACAUCCAAACCACCCAAAGCCCAUCUACCAUGGCGCGGAAGUGACAG